CCCUUAGAUGUCCUGGGCCGCACGCGCGCCACACUGAUGCAUUCAACGAGUUUUACCUUGGCCGAGAGGCCUGGGCAAUCUUUUAAACCUGCACCGUGAUAGGGAUAGAUUAUUGCAAUUAUUAAUCUUGAACGAGGAAUUCCUAGUAAACGCAGUUCAUCAAACUGCAUUGAUUACGUCCCUGCCCUUUGUACACACCGCCCGUCGCACCUACCGAUUGAAUGGUCCGGUGAAAUCUCCGGACUGGCGUGAGUCGGAGCAAUCUGACAAACGCCGGAAAGUUGAUUAAACCUUACCAUUUAGAGGAAGGUGAAGUCGUAACA
rnacentral:rRNA from 1 species